rnacentral:rRNA from 1 species
AUUGAACGCUAGCGGGAUGCCUUACACAUGCAAGUCGAACGGAGUGGCGAACGGGUGAGUAAUGUAUCGGAACGUGCCCAGUAGCGGGGGAUAACUACCCGAAAGCGUAGCUAAUACCGCAUACUCUUUGCGCGGCCGAUAUCGGAUUGGCUAGUUGGUGGGUUAACGGCUCACCAAGGCGACGAUCCGUAGCUGGUUUGAGAGGAUGACCAGCCACACUGGGACUGAGACACGGCCCAGACUCCUACGGGAGGCAGCAGUGGGGAAUAUUGGACAAUGGGGGAAACCCUGAUCCAGCCAUCCCGCGUGUGCGAAGAAGGCCUUCGGGUUGUAAAGCACUUUCAGCAGGGAAGCGGUACCUGCAGAAUAAGCACCGGCUAACUACGUGCCAGCAGCCGCGGUAAUUC